rnacentral:tRNA from 1 species
GGAGAGGUGCCUGAGUGGUUGAAAGGAGCCGCCUGCUAAGCGGUUGAUCUGGGUUAUACCGGAUCCUCGGGUUCGAAUCCCGGCCUCUCCG